GAAUAAUCCACAUUGACUGGAUUAAAUCGGUCAACCUGUGGCUGCAGGUCAAAAACGUGCGCCGGCGUGAAACUGGGGGCUGGACGUCAAGCGGCGGUCCUCUGACCUGCCGUUCAUUCCCAUUGGACGGAAUCAGCAAAGCGAAGCAAGCGGAGAAAACAGGCUGAUUCAUGAUGUCUCAGGGAUGGAAAGUGGCUGGUUCAACCAGUCUGAAGGCCCAGGGAAAGGUCACAGGUCACGCAUGUACUCCACCCCCCACGUUAAUUAAUGUAUUUAUAUAUUUAUAUCAGGA